GGCCGGGGGCCGCGGAGGGGAGCGCCGCCCCGGGAGGCCCGAGGGCCGCGCCAGGCGGCGGCAGCGACAGGGCCGGGAUGGGGGGAAAGCGCGGAGCCGGAGCCGCGGGCAAGGGAAUGAGGGGAAGGAGGUGUGCGGGCAGCGCGCUGUUCUGCGUGGCGAGAUGGGGCAGUGGACAAAGGGUCCGAGCCCUCUGGGCCGAUGAACCGCGUCUGGAAACCAGCCUAACUCGCGGGAGAGUUAUAAAGCCACAUUAGUCAGGAGAAAUUGCACAGUCCUGGGAAGUUUCAAACUGCAUCCGCUGAUGCUGUCAGGAAAAUGCUACUGUGCAGGAGCACAGGUGCGACUGCAUUGACUGCUACUCUUCGUCUUCGGCUCGGGUCAUCCUGGAGGGACGAGUGGAAAGAAACGGGGAGGUGGGCGAGAUUCUGUCGGAUGCGUGGGAACAGUACAGGAGAGAAAAAUGGAAUACCCUCUUCCAGGAGACAAAGAUCGCGUUGUCUGUGAUCUCAGAAAGUGAAUUUGAAGACACGAGUUUGAAGAAACUUCAGAAAUAAAUACAACAUAUUGCUGAAAAACCCUAUCUUGGUAUCCUCACUUGCUUUAGAUCAUGGGGGUCCAACCUUUUGGCUUGUCUGGGCCACACUGAGUGAAGAGGAAUUGGCACGGGCUGCAUAUAAAAUAUAUAAUUAAUAUACCCAUAGUAACAAAACUUCUUGUGGUUUGUUUUUUUCAUUCCACUGUCAGUGUGUGGCGGGCAUGAGAGGCGGAGUUAGCCCAGAGCUGUGCCCUCCCCUCCACAGUGUUCAGUUGCUGCCUGCACGGUCCACAAUCAAGCUACACACCAUCGAUUCAUGAAAAAUAUCACCAAAAAAUCACAUAAUAAAGUUGACGAUAUUUUGGGGUCUCAUUACUGGCUGUCCCAGGGCUGUGUGUGGCCUGUGGGCUCUGGGUCGGAAAUGUUUGCUUUAGAUGGCGUUUCCCAUCAGUAACUGGUGCUAUGAUGGUGAUGGAAUGGGCUGAAUGAUGAUGUUUUUUCUCUUCUAGUCUGUAAAUCAUUAAUUACUGUGUAAUUCUACUAGAGGCAACUAGCAGUGAAUAAGUGAACCUGAUUGUCAAGCAGGAGCAAUACUAGCUAUUCUAACAGCUAGUUUCCAAUUUUAUGGUUGAAUGUGAAGUUAAAGAUUGAGAAAUAAACAGAAAUAGAUUCCUUUAGGAUAAUGUGAUUCUGUAUUAAUAGGAAGAUGAAAUUUCAUAUUUUACAUUUCCCAAUCAAACCAUCCACUGAAACAAUGUUGCUGUCCCUUUGACUAACUAAAAAGCUUUCUUUCAAGACUAACUUACAUUUUUUUGUAUUACAACCUACCACUUAUUGCAAGGAUACAUUUCUGUUAUGUCCAGAAUUUCUCAAACUAAAACUUGCUCCUAUAA